rnacentral:rRNA from 1 species
AUUGAACGCUGGCGGCAGGCUUAACACAUGCAAGUCGAACGAGUGGCGGACGGGUGAGUAAUGUCUGGGAAACUAGCUGAUGGAGGGGGAUAACUACGGGAAACGGUAGCUAAUACCGCGUACCAUAGGAUGUGCCCAAGUGGGAUUAGGUAGUUGGUGGGGUAAAGGCUCACCAAGCCGACGAUCCCUAGCUGGUCUGAGAGGAUGACCCACCACACUGGGACUGGGACCCGGCCCAGACUCCUACGGGAGGCAGCAGGGGGGAAUUUUGCGACAAUGGGGGCACCUGAAGGAACCCUUCCGCGUGGAAUAAGAAGGCCUUCGGGUUGUAAAAUUCUUUCGGUAGCGAAGCGUUUACUACAGGAGAAGCACCGGCUAACUCCGUGCCAGCCACCGCUGUUAUUC